CAAUAGCGUAUAUUAAAGUUGUUGCAGUUAAAAAGCUCGUAGUUGGAUUUCUGGUUGAAGCGACCGGUCGGGCGUUGAUUCGUCUGCACUGGAGUCGGUUUUGGCCAUCCUCUAGGAAAGUGCGUCUGGUAUUAAGUUAUCGGGCGUAUGAUCCUGGUCUUUUACUGUGAAAAAAUUAGAGUGUUUAAAGCAGGCCUUCGCCUUGAAUACAUUAGCAUGGAAUAAUAAGAUAGGACUUUGGUCUAUUUUGUUGGUUUGCAGACCGAAGUAAUGAUUAAUAGGGAUAGUUGGGGGUAUUUAUAUUCCGAUGUCAGAGGUUAAAUUCUUAGAUUUUCGGAAGAUAAACUUAUGCGAAAGCAUUUACCAAGGAUGUUUUCAUUAA
rnacentral:rRNA from 1 species